rnacentral:lncRNA from 1 species
UGGCCUGGAAUUUUCAUUGAUUCGUUUCUGGGUGUUUUUUUUUUAAUUCAGUAAAAAGAAUGUGACUUUAUUCUAAUUCUUUUGUUUUGAAAGCAGUGCAGUGAGUUGGGCAGGACACAAAGUUUACGCAGCUGUGUUGUUGCUGAUUAAAAGGAGGAUGUUUUCUCUUUCUUUUCAGUGAACAACAGAGGGGAGUACUGAAACAUUUGGGAAGAGGAAGCCCUCUCCUAAUAAAUGGAUGCUGACUGCAUGUUGUAAAACAGCAUUGGACUUUACUGGAAAGAGAAAGUCCAUGAAUUCAUCACUGAUACAGGAUGUACAGACUUAAGCUUUUAUUUUGAAGUCUAUAACUUUCCUACUGAGUAACGUCAGCUGUCUGUCAGUCUGC